AUUGAACGCUGGCGGCAGGCCUAACACAUGCAAGUCGAGCGAGCGGCGGACGGGUGAGUAAUGCCUGGGAAUUGCCCAGUCGAGGGGGAUAACAGUUGGAAACGACUGCUAAUACCGCAUACGAUUGGAUUGCCCAGGUGGGAUUAGCUCGUGGGGGAGUGAAUGGAGCACAAAGGCGACGAACCCUAGCUGGUCUGAGAGGAGGAGCAGCCACACUGGAACUGAGACACGGUCCAGACUCCUACGGGAGGAAGCAGUGGGGAAUAUUGCACAAUGGGGGAAACCCUGAUGCAGCCAUGCCGCGUGUGUGAAGAAGGCCUUCGGGUUGUAAAGCACUUGCAGCGAGGAGGCGUUACUCGCAGAAGAAGCACCGGCUAACUCCGUGCCAGCAGCCGCGGUAAUUC
rnacentral:rRNA from 1 species